rnacentral:rRNA from 1 species
AUAAUGGGUCAGCGACUUAUAUUCUGUAGCAAGGUUAACCGAAUAGGGGAGCCGAAGGGAAACCGAGUCUUAACUGGGCGUUAAGUUGCAGGGUAUAGACCCGAAACCCGGUGAUCUAGCCAUGGGCAGGUUGAAGGUUGGGUAACACUAACUGGAGGACCGAACCGACUAAUGUUGAAAAAUUAGCGGAUGACUUGUGGCUGGGGGUGAAAGGCCAAUCAAACCGGGAGAUAGCUGGUUCUCCCCGAAAGCUAUUUAGGUAGCGCCUCGUGAAUUCAUCUCCGGGGGUAGAGCACUGUUUCGGCAAGGGGGUCAUCCCGACUUACCAACCCGAUGCAAACUGCGAAUACCGGAGAAUGUUAUCACGGGAGACACACGGCGGGUGCUAACGUCCGUCGUGAAGAGGGAAACAACCCAGACCGCCAGCUAAGGUCCCAAAGUCAUGGUUAAGUGGGAAACGAUGUGGGAAGGCCCAGACAGCCAGGAUGUUGGCUUAGAAGCAGCCAUCAUUUAAAGAAAGCGUAAUAGCUCACUGGUCGAGUCGGCCUGCGCGGAAGAUGUAACGGGGCUAAACCAUGCACCGAAGCUGCGGCAGCGACGCUUAUGCGUUGUUGGGUAGGGGAGCGUUCUGUAAGCCUGCGAAGGUGUGCUGUGAGGCAUGCU